rnacentral:rRNA from 1 species
CAGUCGCCGCGGUAAUACCGAGGGUGCGAGCGUUAAUCGGAUUUACUGGGCGUAAAGCGUGCGUAGGCGGCUUCUUAAGUCGGAUGUGAAAUCCCUGAGCUUAACUUAGGAAUUGCAUUCGAUACUGGGAAGCUAGAGUAUGGGAGAGGAUGGUAGAAUUCCAGGUGUAGCGGUGAAAUGCGUAGAGAUCUGGAGGAAUACCGAUGGCGAAGGCAGCCAUCUGGCCUAAUACUGACGCUGAGGUACGAAAGCAUGGGGAGCAAACAGGAUUAGAUACCCCGGUAGUCCCCUGUCUCUUAUA